AUAAUAUGAUGAGUGCACAUACUUAACAACUCUUUGAAUCUCUCCCAUGCAUCAUACAAUGAUUCCUCUUCUGUUUGGUAGAAAUUAUUAAUUUAUCCUCUCAAAUU